GGUCUUGGACUCGACCAGAUUCAAACUCUUUAUCGAGGGCUAAAAUGGGAGAGACCUUAAUGGUCAAGAAUUCAAAAGUCUCAGUUGGCUGAGAAGAAGGUUUUUGAAUUUGGACUUUAGGGUCCAGUGCUUGGGCAAAAGACUCUAGGGUCUUCAUUUCAUAACUAGAUUUGUUCUGGACCUUAGAAAUGGAUCCAGAGGAAGAUUCAGGCUUUGGGCCUGGAAGUUUUGGGAGUUAUCCUAAAACGGUAAACUUAUUGUGGCUCUGGGCCAGACUAGGAAGAGGAGGAAAAGAGGGCCUUAUUUGGGCCAAACUAGUAGGAACGAAAGGUCUAA
rnacentral:lncRNA from 1 species